UGUUAAGUUAGUGGCGGACGGGUGAGUAACGCGUGGGUAACCUGCCGUAUACCGGGGGAUAACACCUGGAAACAGGUGCUAAUACCGCAUAAGCGCACGGGACCGCAUGGUCCAGUGUGAAAAACCGAGGUGGUAUGCGAUGGACCCGCGUCUGAUUAGCCAGUUGGCAGGGUAACGGCCUACCAAAGCGACGAUCAGUAGCCGGCCCGAGAGGGUGGACGGCCACAUUGGGACUGAGACACGGCCCAAACUCCUACGGGAGGCAGCAG
rnacentral:rRNA from 1 species